GGGAAGGUGAUUCAGUGGUAGAGUGCUUGUCUUGCAUGCAUGAGGCCCUGGGUUCCAUUCCUCAGCCCCA
rnacentral:tRNA from 1 species